CAGGAAGGGGAGAGGCAGGGGGACAAAAGGAGGUAAUUGGAAAUCAGCGUCACUGGGGAUGUUUCCUCCAGCUGGAAGUGUCGCUAGAGAAAUAUGAAGCGGAGCCAUCCCCAAGGUCUGCAGCUGGGGCCAGAACAUUGCAAAGCCUUUGCCAGUUUGCAAUGAGAUGAGAAAAUACGGAUAAUGUGAAAUGCUCAGGGACUCGACUAAAAACUGGCUUCCUUGAUCCUUUUCUCUGAGGCCCACAGCCAAGACUUGACCACACUGUGUGGAGGAUCAUCUUUAAGCCGUUAAAACCGUUCAUGAUAAGAGGAUCUGGCAGGAGCAGAAGAACU